rnacentral:rRNA from 1 species
UGGGGAAUUUUGGACAAUGGGCGAAAGCCUGAUCCAGCCAUGCCGCGUGAGUGAAGAAGGCCUUCGGGUUGUAAAGCUCUUUCAGCCGGAAAGAAAUCGCGCAGGAUAAUACUCUGCGUGGAUGACGGUAUCGGAAGAAUAAGCACCGGCUAACUACGUGCCAGCAGCCGCGGUAAUACGUAGGGUGCAAGCGUUAAUCGGAAUUACUGGGCGUAAAGCGUGCGCAGGCGGUUGUGUAAGUCAGAUGUGAAAUCCCCAGGCUCAACCUGGGAAUUGCAUUUGAGACUGCACGGCUAGAGUGUGUCAGAGGGGGGUAGAAUUCCACGUGUAGCAGUGAAAUGCGUAGAUAUGCGGAGGAACACCGAUGGCGAAGGCAAUCCCCUGGACCUGUACUGACGCUCAUGCACGAAAGCGUGGGGAGCAAACA